GGAUGUGAGGGUGAUCUGGCUGCAACAUCUGUUACCUCAUUGAUUGCCAGGGUUGAUUUGACUGAUCUGGCUGKUAGGUGGGUGCUCCCUUCCUCCCUCACUACUCUAUGUGCAUCUCUCCUGAAGCUGCAUGCUUGGUUGUAGGGGAUGACUUUCCCUGAUAGAGGAGGAAUGUUCUUGUCAAGGGUAUACAAGUAGCUGCGCUCUCCUGCAGCUACUAGAAUCUCCAAACAAGCUCUCAAAAUAAAAAAUAAAAAGGGCUGAGGGUUUUGCUCUGGGUUCAAUUU
rnacentral:snRNA from 1 species